rnacentral:rRNA from 1 species
GAUGAACGCUGGCGGCGUGCCUAAUACAUGCAAGUCGAGCGAACAGAUAAGGAGCUUGCUCCUUUGACGUUAGCGGCGGACGGGUGAGUAACACGUGGUUAACCUACCUAUCAGACUGGGAUAACUUCGGGAAACCGGAGCUAAUACCGGAUAAUAUUUCGAACCUCAUGGUUCGAUAGUGAAAGAUGGUUUUGCUAUCACUUAUAGAUGGACCCGCGCCGUAUUAGCUAGUUGGUAAGGUAACGGCUUACCAAGGCGACGAUACGUAGCCGACCUGAGAGGGUGAUCGGACAGACGGGAAGUGAGAAACGGUACAGACUCCUACGGGAGGCAGCAGUAGGGAAUCUUACGCAAUGGGGGAAAGCCUGACGGAGCAACGCCGCGUGAGUGAUGAAGGACUUAGGAUCGUAAAACUCUGUUAGUAGGGAAGAACAUAAGUGUAAGUAACUGUGAACGUCUUGACGGUACCUAAUCAGAAAGCCACGGCUAACUACGUG